rnacentral:hammerhead_ribozyme from 1 species
AUCCAGCUGAAGAGUCUCAAAUAGGACGAAACGCGCUGGAU